rnacentral:tRNA from 1 species
GCCGAAAUAAGCUCAGUUGGAGAGCGUUAGACUGAAGAUCUAAAGGUCCCUGGUUCAAUCAGUUUCGGCA